ensembl:lncRNA
GUGAGGCCGCCCCAGGCACAGCACAGCCGCAGCGCUCCGCUGGCCGUCCGUCCCCGCCCUGCAGCGCACACAGCCGCGCACGGCGCCCCAGAGGCACCUCCUGGCAGCCCCGAGCGCUGUGUGACCCGCAGCUCCCUGCGGACGUUCAGCCCCUGCGCCUCACUGCACGCUGCACGAGGGCGCGCCCCUCUGCCUGCGGGUCCCGCUGUCGCCUGCAGAGCUGCUCGUGUCAGCAGCGGAUGGCAAAGGCGGCCGAGGGGUGAUGGGGGCUGCGCACAGCAGGGAGAUCUCACCAGGAAUAUGGAAACGUCGCUUUGGAUCUUCCCCAGGCCGAGCAGCUCCACGUCACGCAGCCUUCCCCCACAGGGAGAUGCUCCAGGCCUUCUCAGCUCUGUUAUCAGGAUGCCAUGGGAGAUAACACCAAAAGCCUUGCUGACAUCCACUUGCACCAAAAGCCUUGCAGAUGACAUCCACUCCUCCCCCCGCACCUACCCGGCUGGUGAUGCCAUCAUAGAAGGCUACGAGGCACAGAGGUGAGGCUGACUGCCUGCGGUUUCCUGGAUCCUCCUUCCUACCCUUUCUGCAGAUCUGCAUACUGCUCCCACCCAGCAGCUCCAGGACCCCCCCCUCACCCAGAGGGCAGCUCUCCAUUCCUGGACUCUCCCUGUUCCCCCCGGGGUCCCAAGAGGGUGGUCUUGGAAGUGAGAACUGUACCAAAGAAGGCACUCAGCAUCUCCACCUCCUCAGCACACCUCCCCUUGUUCCACAGGGUACCUUCUUACUUCCUCAUCAACACAGCAAUUGGGGUUUCGUGAGUGGAACAAAUGUGCAACAGCCCCGAGCUGCGAGGAGGAGUCAGGAGAGAGAUUCCGUGCAGUGCUGCAGCACGGUGCAUCCGCAGGGCACUGCCCACAGCACCGUGCACUGCCUGCAGCACCGUGCACUGCCUGCAGCACUGAGCACUACCCGCAGCACCGUGCAUUCCCUGCAGCACCGUUCUCUACCUGCAGCACUGCGCAUGGCUCUCCCUGCAGUGCCCGCAGCGCCAUGAACUGUGUCCUGCUCUGCGUGCACUGUGUGCCACCUAUGCCGUGCACCGCCUGCAGUGCUAUGCAUGGCCCGCACACCGUGCUGCCUGCAGCUGCUUGCACCGCCCAGGGGAGAUUGCAGAGGGCAGAGCGCUGCUCAUUGUGCUCCUGUCCCCACUGCCGGCAUGCAGCCGCGCUGGAGCGGAGCUGCUCUGGAAGAACCAAAGGACAGUUCCCCCCCACCCCCGCCCUGUGCUCGGAGCUCAUCUCCCCGCUGCCGAUCAGCACAUUCAGUGCUUAAAAGGAAACGAGUCCGCUGUGCUGAUGGGAGAGCCCGGGAGGCGCCGUGCGACCCUGCUUGGCAGCUCCGGGAAGGGCACCGUGUCAGAGCUCCCCGUGCACAAUGCACAGCGCAGCGUGUACAAUGCACGAUGCAGGACGCAGGGAGAGCGGAGUGCCAUCUCUGUUGGGGACGGCCCCGUUUCCGUGGCAACCGAGAGGCUCCGGCGGCGGCCGCGUGGCCCCGGCAGAGGGCACUGCGCGUUGUGCAGUGGAGGAGCCCAGCCCCGUGCCGGGCAGCACUCCAUGUUCCCGGCCUGCUGCGGCGCUCAGAGCGCUGGCACAGCGCUCUGCUGGAGUUACUCAUCGCUCCCAUCAGCAGCCCUCACCCAGCGCCCAUCUGCGGCUGCAGGACAGCGCCGUUCAUCAGCGGUGUGAGUCGGAGCUGGAGUGUGUGCAGCGGGGCCUCAGCUGUGUGCCCAUCGCCGUGCAUCCCUCGCCGUGCUGCGUGUGCUGCAGGAUGGGGCUGCACACGAGCGUGCAAAGUGCUGGGUGCGUGGAAAUGGCUGGAAAAGUGCUCCCUACUCCUGCUUCAAUCAGAGGAACGGAGCAGCUGUUGGAGUGAAUGGGCCCUGCACUAAAGCAGACGUCUUAAUAUCUUUUGCAGAGGAGGUGCAUUGUGAUUCACUCUGUGCAUCUCUAUUACUCAGCGUUUGAUAGGGGCUUACUUGUCUCAAGUGCUUUUCAUUAUUGCCCUAAUGCUAUCUAUUAACAUAUGGGAUGGAGGCUCUUUUCUCAUCUGGAGCGUGCAUCACUCCGCUUUUAAGGAUGAUGGGGCUUGCAAGUACAUAACACUUUGCUGCCUCCCUGACGGAGCUCACCAGGAGGAGGGAGGGGGUGCGUGGGGUUGGAGGGCCGCAGGGCUGCGAGGACACAGUGGUGUGAGCAGAGCCACAGCCAUGCACUGCUCCACUGCCACAGCCCUGCACGGCAGCCGGGUCAGUUAGCUGCUUUAACUGCCCAGGGGGUGUUUGCAGGUGCAGGCUCUGUGGGCAGACUUUGCGGGGGAAGAUUACAGGUGUGGUUUUCUGGGUGGGUGCUGUGUGAUGGGCAGAGCUGUGCUGGGGCGGUCCCACGCGCUGCUCUUACUCUGCACAUGGCUGCAACUCAGAGCUGAACCUUCUGCUGGACAGGAGCAGAAGGAGCUGCAGCCUGGUGAGAGAGCACAUCUCUUCCCUCGGCUCAGGAUGAGUUCUGCCUUGCAUUUUGGUGAGCUAUGGCAAGAAACGCAAUAGCACAGGAGCAAAAAUCACUGCACCUCAGGCUCAGAGCGGUUGGAAGGGACCUGUGGGGCUCCCCCAGCCCGGCCCCAUCCUGCAGGACCCGCAUGUCCCAUCAGCCAGGUUGGGAUGGGGGGAUUCAGAGCACCUGGAAACCCCAGCGUGGCACAGUCGUGCAGCAGCCGCCUCCGAGCAGCUUGAUGGAUGGCGGGCCGGUCCCACCCGCAGCCAGAUGACAGCUCCUCGCAUCAGCCGCUGUGAUAAAUAGCAAUUACAGACAGGAGCACUGCCACUCACAUUUGCCUAAGUGAGGAGCAGAAUCAUACAUCUCCGCUGAUUACAUAUCAAUGAUGCGCUGGAGGCCUUCGCAACUUUUAGAUCCGCUUAAGAUAUGCCGCCCUGAUUUAGACGGCGAUUUGCAUACAAUUUACCCAUAAAGCCUUACUUUGAAAAGCAUAAUUACUUCUUCUUCUUCUUCUUUUUUUUUUUUUUUGUUUUAAUAUUCUUCCUUCUGAUUUGAAUGUUAGCGAGGCCAUAGCAUGAAUUACUGUGCUAAUGAAGAC